UACGUAGGGUGCGAGCGUUAAUCGGAAUUACUGGGCGUAAAGCGUGCGCAGGCGGUUGUGCAAGACCGAUGUGAAAUCCCCGGGCUUAACCUGGGAAUGGCAUUGGUGACUGCACGGCUAGAGUGUGUCAGAGGGGGGGUAGAAUUCCACGUGUAGCAGUGAAAAUGCGUAGAGAUGUGGAGGAAUACCGAUGGCGAAGGCAGCCCCCCUGGGCUGACACUGACGCUCAGGCACGAAAGCGUGGGGAGC
rnacentral:rRNA from 1 species